AUAGGGCAGAAAUUUGAAUGAUGC
rnacentral:siRNA from 1 species